ACCAGCGAGAAGAAAAUAUGAAAUACUCACUAGUAUCGACUGGCUGCCAGAAUUUGUCUCUGACGCUUCCAACCUUUCAGAAUGCAGCUCAGCCAGAGGGUUGUUUUUGUUUUUGUUUUUGUUUGUAUGAGUUUUUUAAAGUCUGUGGUAAUGCAGUCUAAACACAGCGCCCAAGAGGACUUGAAGGAAAUGUUUGGGGAGGAGGGGAUCUGGAGAAGCUUUGGAGCAUGAAGACUGGGAAAUACUUGGAUAAAGAGAACGCCUUGCUUUGCCUUUGAGAGUGGGCUACCAGAUCGAUGCGAGAUUGAAGAGUCGAUGGUGGGUGCAUUUAGAGCCUGGAAGCAAAGGAUGGAGGCUGCUCCUUGAAGCAGAGAGGCACGAUGGGAUCAGUCAAAGAGAUUGUAUGUGCUCCUCAGCAAUCUCAUCAUGCCUUGUUAGAAUAAGAUAAGGAUUGAAUGAAUUCAUUUCGAAGACAGAAGUCAAGUUUGGAGAAGAAUGUCCGAAACCAUUACUUAACAUCCAUUAGUCAAGCCUAUCUUAAUCAUGAGUAACAGAAACCCACUCUAUCUAGCACACACACACACACAAAAUGAAAAGGUGAGUUUUCUGCAAAGAUACAAGGUAUCUAACAAAACACAAGGGAAGGAAGUACAAUCGGACCUCAUCUCUGGAUGGUCCAGAAUUGAGCUUAUUCUCUAUGGCAGAUUAUAUUUUCCCAAA
rnacentral:lncRNA from 1 species